GAUGAACGCUGGCGGCGUGCCUAAUACAUGCAAGUCGAGCGAAUGGAUUAAGAGCUUGCUCUUAUGAAGUUAGCGGCGGACGGGUGAGUAACACGUGGGUAACCUGCCCAUAAGACUGGGAUAACUCCGGGAAGCCGGGGCUAAUACCGGAUAACAUUUUGAACCGCAUGGUUCGAAAUUGAAAGGCGGCUUCGGCUGUCACUUAUGGAUGGACCCGCGUCGCAUUAGCUAGUUGGUGAGGUAACGGCUCACCAAGGCAAAGAUGCGUAGCCGACCUGAGAGGGUGAUCGGCCACGAUGGGACUGAGACACGGCCCAGACGCCUACGGGAGGCAGCAGUAGGGAAUCUUCCGCAAUUGACGAAAGUCUGACGGAGCAACGCCGCGUGAGUGAUGAAGGCUUUCGGGUCGUAAAACUCUGUUGUUAGGGAAGAACAAGUGCUAGUUGAAUAAGCUGGCACCUUGACGGUACCUAACCAGAAAGCCACGGCUAACUACGUGCCAGCAGCCGCGGUAA
rnacentral:rRNA from 1 species